rnacentral:lncRNA from 1 species
GCCACCAUUUCUGAAAGGGUUAGACACACCACUCCUCUCACUGGAAAAUCGGUCAAACAAACAACUCUUCGGGGUCUGAAAAUCCCCGCUUGACUCUACUUCAAAUUCCAUUCUGUCUCUCUCUCUGAACUCGGUGUCAAUAAAGGUACAUGAACCACUGUGAGAAUCAUCACUAGCGUAAUGAAGGGACAGAUUCUUCCCUCCAUUGAAUUGUACAACUUCUUCUCCAUCGUCUUCCUCAAUUAAGGCAGAAAGUACCCUCUUAUACAGCGGAGUACUCUCAUUCAACUUUCUCAUGUCCAAUCUCUCAAAUGAAAGAUCAGAUUUACAUGAUGACGCUGGACCUGAAUAGUCAACAAUUCCCUCACAAAUGCGAUGCGGUGUUUUCGGCAACUUGAUACCCUGAGACAGGAGUCUCAUUCAUUCAUGCAACAUUCAGAUAAAAAGAAUAUAAAACUAGACAUUGCUGCAUAGGUUUACAAUGCAACUUACCAUGAUGUUAUAGCCAUCUAAGAUUGCCUCUGACAGAGAUUCAUCGAGUUCUUCCGCAAAAUUAAGCUGUAUAUUUACAGCCACAAGUUAACGAGAGAUUGGGUUGGCACACUAAGUCACAUAUAUCAUAUUUUAUGGUAUGUUGAUUAUUACCUGAUCCUUUAUGUUUUGCAUGUCAUCUGUAUUGAUGGCAGCAAAGAUGUGGUCCAUCUUCUUCCAAAACUUGCCAGAACAAGCAAGAUCUACAAAAAGAUAUUUGGAGUUAGAAGGAAAUUAAUGGCAAUAAAACUUGAAAGACAAGACAUAUGGAAGUAUGAGUACUCGCUGCCUUCCGUGCUGAAUUAGCUGCUGCAAAAAUAUCCUCACGAUCAUCAUCUGAUUCACCUGAAUAACCAAAAAUCCACUAUAUUUAUGCUCAGGAACUAACUAGUGACUCCAACGUAAAUAUGAGGUGCUCUUUGGGGAUUUCCCUUUGGUGAUUAGAAGGUUCAUUGAGCGUGUUACUGGCUGUUCCAGAGCCGCCAUUUUCUGAUGAUUUUGCAUCGUUGCUGGGAGAUGAAAACAGGAUGUCUCAAAGUGCAGGAUCAGCAAAACAGCUGAGACCAGUAUCAUCAAACUUUUGACACCUGGCAAGUGUCCGCCGGGUGAACGCCAGCGCCGCUUGUCUUGUCACCUUGUGGACUUUAUAUGCUUUAUUUCCACGGGAUGCCUGUUUUCAGAGUAACAUCCAUAACCUCAUAUAUAUCUUAUCCCACAACCAUUGACCCAAGUAGAUUAUGAUAAAAUGUAAGCAUCAACUAGUUUAUUACCAUUCUUUUCUUGUGUGCUGUUUCCACAAGGUGGUCGAUAGCAAGAUGCUCAAUUUUCCUGCAUGUAAACAUGAAAUCUUAGCAAAUAUAACAGUUUAACUUGAAAAAUAAUGAAUCGUAAAAAGCCAAAAGCCAACCUUUUCUCAUCAUCUUUCCCCUUCUGGAUGGUAAUAUUUAGCUUCUCGAGCUUUUCCUUCUUGUUUCGGAUCUAUUAUUGGUCAAUGAUAGAAUGUGAGAAAGGUUACUACGCGUCGAUGAUAAUUUUUCAAUGGGAAACAAAAAAAUAACUUUUCCUAGUGACACAUAUAUAAAGCGUGAAUUAUAUGUUUUUCGUUUACCUGCUGAUAAAUGCUUUCCUUCAACUCCAUAACAUCUGUGCUCAUAGUUUCUUCGGCCAGAUCAGGCUGCGAAUAAAUAAAAAUGAAAAUAAGUGACAAAGUUUUUAAGAGUAAUACGUGUUUUUUUUUUCCUUUCGUUCAAGUUCAUGACAGAUUAACUGAGUGGAAAAAACCUACCAUUGCCUCAGGAAACACACCAAUGCUCUGUAAUUCCAGAAGAAGUCGCUCGUCCAAAGACAUAAGCUGAUACUGGGUGUCAGAUACUGGGAAGUUGGGAAUGUUCACUUCCCUAGCUUGCAACUGACCCAGGCCAUUCGAAAAUGUCUCACCACCGAGUGGCGCAUCCGAAUGUGAAAGAUCAUCAUCCAACCACCGUUCAUUGCUAUGCGCAGAUACAGACAUGCCACCAUUUCUGAAAGGGUUAAGACACACCACUCCUCUCACUGGAAAAUCGGUCAAACAAACAACUCUUCGGGGUCUGAAAAUCCCCGCUUGACUCUACUUCAAAUUCCAUUCUGUGUCUCUCUCUGAACUCGGUGUCAAUAUAGGUACAUGAACCACUGUGAGAAUCAUCACUAGCGUAAUGAAGGGACAGAUUCUUCCCUCCAUUGAAUUGUACAACUUCUUCUCCAUCGUCUUCCUCAAUUAAGGCAGAAAGUACCCUCUUAUACAGCGGAGUACUCUCAUUCAACUUUCUCAUGUCCAAUCUCUCAAAUGAAAGAUCAAAUUUACAUGAAAGAUGCGCUUCAUCUUUACUCUUACUCUAAACAA